GGCUAAAUACUCCUGACUGACCGAUAGUGAACCAGUACCGUGAGGGAAAGGCGAAAAGAACCCCGGCGAGGGGAGUGAAAAAGAACCUGAAACCGUGUACGUACAAGCAGUGGGAGCCUCUUUAUGGGGUGACUGCGUACCUUUUGUAUAAUGGGUCAGCGACUUAUAUUCUGUAGCAAGGUUAACCGAAUAGGGGAGCCGAAGGGAAACCGAGUCUUAACUGGGCGUUAAGUUGCAGGGUAUAGACCCGAAACCCGGUGAUCUAGCCAUGGGCAGGUUGAAGGUUGGGUAACACUAACUGGAGGACCGAACCGACUAAUGUUGAAAAAUUAGCGGAUGACUUGUGGCUGGGGGUGAAAGGCCAAUCAAACCGGGAGAUAGCUGGUUCUCCCCGAAAGCUAUUUAGGUAGCGCCUCGUGAAUUCAUCUCCGGGGGUAGAGCACUGUUUCGGCAAGGGGGUCAUCCCGACUUACCAACCCGAUGCAAACUGCGAAUACCGGAGAAUGUUAUCACGGGAGACACACGGCGGGUGCUAACGUCCGUCGUGAAGAGGGAAACAACCCAGACCGCCAGCUAAGGUCCCAAAGUCAUGGUUAAGUGGGAAACGAUGUGGGAAGGCCCAGACAGCCAGGAUGUUGGCUUAGAAGCAGCCAUCAUUUAAAGAAAGCGUAAUAGCUCACUGGUCGAGUCGGCCUGCGCGGAAGAUGUAACGGGGCUAAACCAUGCACCGAAGCUGCGGCAGCGACACUAUGUGUUGUUGGGUAGGGGAGCGUUCUGUAAGCCUGUGAAGGUGGCCUGUGAGGGUUGCUGGAGGUAUCAGAAGUGCGAAUGCUGACAUAAGUAACGAUAAAGCGGGUGAAAAGCCCGCUCGCCGGAAGACCAAGGGUUCCUGUCCAACGUUAAUCGGGGCAGGGUGAGUCGACCCCUAAGGCGAGGCCGAAAGGCGUAGUCGAUGGGAAACAGGUUAAUAUUCCUGUACUUGGUGUUACUGCGAAGGGGGGACGGAGAAGGCUAUGUUGGCCGGGCGACGGUUGUCCCGGUUUAAGCGUGUAGGCUGGUUUUCCAGGCAAAUCCGGAAAACCAAGGCUGAGGCGUGAUGACGAGGCACUACGGUGCUGAAGCGACAAAUGCCCUGCUUCCAGGAAAAGCCUCUAAGCAUCAGGUAACAUCAAAUCGUACCCCAAACCGACACAGGUGGUCAGGUAGAGAAUACCAAGGCGCUUGAGAGAACUCGGGUGAAGGAACUAGGCAAAAUGGUGCCGUAACUUCGGGAGAAGGCACGCUGAUAUGUAGGUGAAGCGACUUGCUCGUGGAGCUGAAAUCAGUCGAAGAUACCAGCUGGCUGCAACUGUUUAUUAAAAACACAGCACUGUGCAAACACGAAAGUGGACGUAUACGGUGUGACGCCUGCCCGGU
rnacentral:rRNA from 1 species